rnacentral:rRNA from 1 species
GACGAACUGUGCAAACGUUAAUCGGAAUUACUGGGCGUAAAGCGUGCGCAGGCGGUUUGCUAAGACAGGUGUGAAAUCCCCGGGCUUAACCUGGGAACUGCGCUUGUAACUGGCAAGCUAGAGUGUGGCAGAGGGGGGUGGAAGUUCCACGUGUAGCAGUGAAAUGCGUAGAGAUGUGGAGGAACACCGAUGGCGAAGGCAGCCCCCUGGGCUAACACUGACGCUCAUGCACGAAAGCGUGGGGAGCAAACAGG